UACAUUCCUAAUAUUAUUUAAAAUCAUGUCUACUUUGCUUUAUUUUUAAUUCUGGAAUGAUUUAGAAUGCGUGCAGCUUUGGAAAAAGAAAUAGAGCAAAUGGAGUCAGCUUUGUCUCUGUGGAAAUGGAAAUAUGAAGAACUGAAGGGGUCAAGGGCAUCACAUGGGAAAGAGUUUGACAUUCUUCAUGAGCUACAUGAAAAUGAAAUGGAACAAGCAUCAGUAAAUAUAAAAGAAGAAUCUAAUUAUCAGAACAGCAAUGAUAGAAUCAUCUAUGAGUUGAAAUCAGAGCUAGAGAGACUGCAAGCAGAAAGUACCUCAGGGUGGGACAGCACAAAAUUACUUCAAACAGAAAAGCAAGGACUGGAGAGAGAAAACAGAAGACUGAAAGACCAGUUGAAAGAAAUGGAAAAGCUCUUGGACAGGAAAAGCAGAUUAAAUACAAAUUUUCAAGAUCCUGAUUUCAAGACAUCGCAAGUUGAUCUGCAAGAUGAGAGCAAGGUGUGGUGCUCUUGGAAACGCCUGUUUUCUUACUGUGCGCUUCCUUCUGAUGCCUAGGUGGACCUGCUUUUGCCCUUGUCUACCUCCAAAUCCGAAUAUUUCUCUUUGUACCUGACAGCUAGCUCUUUUUUCUAUUGUAAUAAAAAUAGCGUUGCUCAUAUAUCUGAAAUACAGUGUAACAAAUUUUGGAUGAAAAUAUGACACAAGAAGACAAAUGAAUCUUGAUUUAAUGUUGUUUUCUUUAUAGCCUUGUGCUAGCACUAUCAAAACUAUUAUCUUGUUUCCAAUAAAUAUGCUUAUCCACUAUGCUGAGCAACCUGACAACAGCAUUUAUUGUUGUUUAUAAGUAUUCA
rnacentral:lncRNA from 1 species